AUACGUAGGUGACAAGCGUUAUCCGGAAUUACUGGGCGUAAAGGGCGCGUAGGCGGCGCUUCAAGUCGUCUGUCAAAUGGGAGGGCUUAACCCUUUUUCGCAGACGAAACUGGAGAGCUUGAGAAGCAGAGAGGCAAACAGACUUCCUGGUGUAGCGGUGAAAUGCGUAGAUAUCAGGAAGAAUACCAGUGGCGAAGGCGGUUUGCUGGCUGCAUACUGACGCUGAAGCGCGAAAGCCAGGGGAGCAAACGGGAUUAGAUACCCCGGUAGUCCUGGCAGUAAACGAUGUAUGCUGGGUGUGAGACUAGCGAUAGUUUCGUGCCGAAGUUAACGCGAUAAGCAUACCGCCUGGGGAGUACGGUCGCAAGAUUGAAACUCAAAGGAAUUGACGGGG
rnacentral:rRNA from 1 species